rnacentral:misc_RNA from 1 species
AAUCAUCAACUUACAAGCCUUUGUGGACUGUAAGCUUGGACUUGGAGGCUUGCCGGCUCUUCUGUCAGCUCCUCUCAAAUGCAUUAGCUCGAUUCCUUGUGGAUCGGCUCUCGGUGUGAUAAUGUCUACGCCGUGACCGUGAAGCGUUUGGCGGGCUUCUAAUCGUCUCAUUAGGGACAAUCUAUUGAC